GAUGAACGCUGGCGGCGUGCCUAAUACAUGCAAGUCGAGCGAACAGACGAGGAGCUUGCUCCUCUGACGUUAGCGGCGGACGGGUGAGUAACACGUGGAUAACCUACCUAUAAGACUGGGAUAACUUCGGGAAACCGGAGCUAAUACCGGAUAAUAUAUUGAACCGCAUGGUUCAAUAGAGAAAGACGGUUUUGCUGUCACUUAUAGAUGGAUCCGCGCCGCAUUAGCUAGUUGGUAAGGUAACGGCUUACCAAGGCAACGAUGCGUAGCCGACCUGAGUGGGUGAUCGGCCACACUGGAACUGAGACACGGUCCAGACUCCUACGGGAGGCAGCAGUAGGGAAUCUUCCGCAAUGGGCGAAAGCUUGACGGAGCAACGCCGCGUGAGUGAUGAAGGUCUUCGGAUCGUAAAACUCUGUUAUUAGGGAAGAACAAAUGUGUAAGUAACUAUGCACGUCUUGACGGUACCUAAUCAGAAAGCCACGGCUAACUACGUG
rnacentral:rRNA from 1 species